rnacentral:rRNA from 1 species
GCCCGCUCAGAAACUCAAAGGAAGUUGACGGGGCCCGGCACAAGCGGUGGAGUAUGUGGUUAAUUCGAUGCAACGCGAAGAACCUUACCUGGUCUUGACAUCCCGGAGACCCUUAGGAAACUAGGGGUGCUUCCAUCUGGAAGAAUCUGGAGACAGGUGCUGCAUGGCUGUCGUCAGCUCGUGUCGUGAGAUGUUGGGUUAAGUCCCGCAACGAGCGCAACCCUUGCCUUUAGUUGCCAGCAGUUCGGCUGGGCACUCUAAAGGGACUGCCGGUGUUAAACCGGAGGAAGGUGGGGAUGACGUCAAGUCCUCAUGGCCUUUAUGACCAGGGCUACACACGUACUACAAUGGCCGAUACAAAGGGCAGCGACACUGCGAGGUGAAGCCAAUCCCGUAAAAUCGGUCUCAGUCCGGAUUGGAGUCUGCAACUCGACUCCAUGAAGUUGGAAUCGCUAGUAAUCGUGGAUCAGCAUGCCACGGUGAAUACGUUCCCGGGCCUU